UAGUCCUUUAAAUAUUUGAAAAUAGUUCUCUUGUGUACCGCCGCCACCCCAAUCUUCUCUUUCCCAGGCUACACCAUCUCAAGUUCCUUUCUACCAAUCUUCACAUAGCACAGACUCAAGACCUUUCAACCACCCUCCUUGUCUUCCCCUGGCACUCUCCAAUUUAACAAAGUCCUUCCUAAAUUGUUGCACUCAGUUGUGUGUCUGACCAGGGCAAAGGUAUAGCAGGGCCAUUACUUCCUUAUUUCUUUUCCUGAAGGCAUGCCUUUGGAUGGAUUCUAAGAUCACACUAACUUUGGGGGGCUGCCAUAUCACAGACAGGCUGCCAGAACCCAGGAAGUGGUAAUCUAGAUCCCAAGUUGGGUCUAGAAUGCAGCCUAGAAUUCAAGAAAGUAAAGGUGACCUAGAAGGGCCACUGGGGUCCAGUAACUGCUCCCUUCCAUUUUUCUCCCAUCUGCUUCCCAUGGACCAGGAUGAUGGUACAGUUGCAUUAGCAACCAGAGGGUGCAGUUGUGAUGACUCAAAGGAGGAGGAGCCAGGGGUACAGAAUCCUCCCUCGGCUAAGAAUCUGGGGUGGGGGCUGGGGGGGCGGGAAAUAUAAUCCUCCUAGAGUUGGAGGUGGGGAUUAGAUUGGACUCCUCCCUGUUUAAGAGAGGCGGGGCUGCCGAGGGGCGGGGCUUCCAGGCCGGGAAUUGGAGGGUUUUGGCUAAGACCGAACAGGCUGACCUGUCCUCCCCCUCCCCACCUGCGGGUAAGAGGAGGCGGCGGUCUGGGGUGCAGAGCAGACUGAGACAGGGGCGAGAGGGCCUGGUUGAAGGUAGAGGACUCCGGAGUCCUGGCCUGGAAACAGCAGGCUCCGGGGAGCCCUGACAGUGGUUGUAUCUGGGGACCGAGGAGGAAGAGGAGGCACCAGCUAAUGCUGCGAGGAGGAGCAGGAACUGAUGCUGCGCUUGGAGGAGGGGAGGUUGCGGAUGGAAGAGCCCAUCGGACCGGAGAGGGAAGAGAGGCUGCUGGCGCUGCUGGGCCUGGUAGGCACAGCACUCAACCUGCUGGUCCUCGUCUGUGUCUACGUCUACACCACCCUCUGAGCUGAUGUCACCUACUGGGGCGGGGCCCGGGAAAACCCUCUAAGGUUUUCCGUUGAGCCUAUGGAGCUGGAGGCGGGGCCUUUACAUCUCCUUGAGAAGACUGGGUCUGCAUGGAGGGGGCGGGGCCGGGGAGCAGGAUGGGAUUUGGAGCCACUUUCUGAGAGAAGGGCCACUGGUGGCGGGGGGCGGGGCCUAGAAAGAUGGGGGAGGGGCCUUCAUGAGAAGGUGGAGCCUAGACCCACCCUGGGACCGGGGCGGGGACUGCCUUUGGAACCUCACUAGGUGGGGCCAGGUGGAGGGAAAGCGGAUCAGUAAGGAAGGACCUGGGUCCUUCGGUGCUGGUCAAAACUUGGCACAUUUCGCUCUACUGGGGUUAGAAUGAAAAAUAUACCACGGGUUCCAGCUGCCUUGACCCCGGCACCUUCCACGUGGAGACCCAGUGAGGAGCGAGGAAUUCUCUGGCCCCAAACAUUCCGAUGCAGAACCCGCCAGUGUAGUCCGCACCGCCGCCCAAGCGAAUUCCCCGGCUCAGCAGGGCUAUCCCUCUCUGCAGUCCCUGCAGGGCAGGGUUUCCGGGGGGUCCACAGCCAGAGGGUUUUGCCUCUCUCCCGAAUCUGGGGUCGGAGUGAGAGGAUGAGCUCUCUCUUCCCUAGAAUCUCUCUGGGGGGUCUGGGGGUGCGAUCAUAUGGGAUUCUCUUCGUACUACCGAAUUUGAAAUAAA